rnacentral:rRNA from 1 species
UACGUAGGGGGCAAGCGUUGUCCGGAUUUACUGGGCGUAAAGAGCGUGUAGGCGGCCACGCAGGUCCGUUGUGAAAACUGGAGGCUCAACCUCCAGCUGUCGACGGAAACCGUAUGGCUAGAGUCCGGAAGAGGAGAGUGGAAUUCCUGGUGUAGCGGUGAAAUGCGUAGAUAUCUGGAGGAAUACCGGUGGCGAAGGCGGGUCUCUGGGCAGUUCCUGACGCUGAGGCACGAAGGCCAGGGGAGCAAACGGG